rnacentral:rRNA from 1 species
AGUUUCGAAUCAUUCACAAUGGGCGAAAGCCUGAUGAUGCGACGCCGCGUGAGGGAUGACGGCCUUAGGGUUGUAAACCUCUGUCGUUGGGGAGCAAAAACUCGGUUCAUAGCCGGGCUUGAGUUAACCCAAAAAGGAAGCAGUGGCUAACUCCGUGCCAGCAGCCGCGGUAAUACGGAGACUGCAAGCGUUACUCGGAUUCACAGGGCGUAAAGGGUGCGUAGGCGGCUGGAUAUGUCGGGUGUGAAAUCCCGGGGCUUAACCCCGGAACUGCGCUCGAAACUGUUCAGCUAGAGUAUUGGAGAGGUGAGUGGAGUUUCAGGUGUAGCGGUGAUAUGCGUAGAUAUCUGAAAGAAGACCAAAGGCGAAGGCAACUCACUGGACAAUCGCUGACGCUGAGGCACGAAAGCAUGGGGAGCGAAAGGAAUUAGAUACUCCUGUAGUCCAUGCCCUAAACUUUGUACACUAGACCUCGGAGGAUUCGACCCCUUCGGGGUUCAAGCUAACGCGAUAAGUGUACCGCCUGAGUACUACGGCCGCAAGGCUAAAACUCAAAGAAAUUGACGGGGGCCCGCACAAGCGGUGGAACACGUGGCUUAAUUCGAUGCAACGCGAAGAACCUUACCUAGGCUUGACAUGUAUUGGAUCGGUUAUGAAAGUAACUCUUCUCUUCGGAGACCGAUACACAGGUGCUGCAUGGCCGUCGUCAGCUCGUGUCGUGAGAUGUUCGGUUAAGUCCGGCAACGAGCGCAACCCUUGUCUUUAGUUUGCCAGCGAGUAAUGUCGGGGACUCUAAAGAGACCAGCCCUUUUUGAGGGCAGGAAGAUGGGGACGACGUCAGGUCAGUAUGGCCCUUAUGCCUAGGGCUGCACACAUGUUACAAUGCCCGAUACAAAGAGAUGCGAGAUCGCGAGAUGGAGCCAAUCUCGAAAAAUCGGGCCCAGUUCGGAUUGAAGUCUGCAACUCGACUUCAUGAAGUUGGAAUCGCUAGUAAUGGCGUAUCAGCAACGACGCCGUGAAUACGUUCCCGGGCCUUGUACACACCGCCCGUCAGGUCAUGAGAGCCGGUCUUACCCGAAGUAUGCUUGCUAACCGCAAGGAGGCAACAUCCUAAGGCGAGGUUGGUGAUUGGGAU